CAAGGCGAAGGCAUGUUGGGGGGUGGCGGACAUCAGAACACACGCACACAUGCUUGCACACACACAACCAGCCAGACAAUCGGGCCAGUGUGUCUGGGGCCGUGGAGCCCAGUGAAUUAGGAGUUUGAUAAGGGUUUUCUCUUUCUCUUGCUUGCUGGCCUUGGACAAUCUCCCCCCAGUUUUCCUCGACGCCACCCCCGGCGCUGCCAACCCUCCUCCCCCGCCUCCCUUCUCUUCCCUGUGCCCAGACUCUUGUUCGGGGCCUUGAAACAGUGAGCCGUCUUUGUUCGAAAUACAGGUGAACGGCAAUCAUGUGAUUAACACACACACACAUAAAAAGCUUUUUAACAGCGCCCGCCCGGCCUCAGAACUGCCCGGAGAGGAGCCGCCCUGGAUGGACAGAGGGACGGAGGGACGAGCAUCCAGCCAGUCGUGUCCCAGCUGCCCCACGGCGGUCUCCACUGCCCGCUGCUGCCCGCCCGCUGCCCGCCUGCCUGGCAUCUCUCUCCCGGGCCAUGUUGGGAGCUGGGGACACACAAAUAAAUCCUGGCCUGGAAGCAGAGCCCUGGGGAGGUGACACGCAGCACCCUGAGCAUCCAGCCACCCCUGAAUCUCUCUCCAGCCCUCUGGUGCACGGAAGUGACUUCUCAUUAAGCAUGGCUGGGAGCAGACUGUGUGUCACUGCUAGUGACCACGGUACUGGGCCGGGGGAACCUGAAGACGAGCUUGGGGGUUUGUAAAUGAGGGACAGAGAGACGAGGCUGCAAUAGCCAGAUUCGGAGAAGCCCAGGCUGCAGGAGAGGGCAACCUCUGUGUUCAAGAGGGACAUGGGGAUCUCUGAGGCUUUUCCCCUGGCCGGAAGUUGGGGAGGGAAGACUUCCUGGAGGGGAUAAUGACAGAGAGGCGGCUGUCGCUGUGGAGGCUGUGUGGGAGAGGAGGGUGGCAUGUAUCGAGGUGGACAGUGGCCCCGAGGAGGCCUGGGCUGUGACAGGAAGGGAGAGGGACAGUGUGGGGGGCAGGGCUGCAAGGGUAUUGGGGCUCCUGAGGGCCAGGCGCCAUAGGAGGUAUCAGAUCCAAGGGCAGGGAGGUGGCACUGAUUCGAAAGGGUCAGGUUUGUCUUCUAGAAGACCACUGCCCUGUGGGCAGCACCAGCCUGUUUAUUGCUGUGUCUCCAGGACCCAGCCCAGCGCCUGGUCCUGAUUCAGGGAAUGUUUUCGGUUAGUUCACAGGUGCUGAUGGCGGGCCCAGAGCCAAUGGUUAACGCCAGAUAUGGGCCUCGGUUUCCUCACCUGUAAAAUGGGGGUCGGCACCUGCCUCAUAGGAAGGCAGUGGUGGUGGGGCUCAGCUCUGUGUGUGCUGUCCACACCCCUGUGCUGACACUUUAUGAGUGUGUGUGGGAUGUGCCAUGGGGGCAGGAGGCAGGGAGCAGGGUCACACACGUCUUGCUGUCCAGGAGAGAGAGGACAAUGACAGUGAUUCUCAAGAGCUUCAGGUUUAUGUACAUUUUUCUUUUCUUUGAGUCAGGGGCUUACUAGGUAACCUUGAAUUCGUGAUGUACCCCAAGCUGGCCUUGAGCUUCUGGUGACAGUCAGACAGGCAAACCUACAGGGACAAAAGGUAGAUGAGUGGCCGCCAGGGCUGGGGGCUCGGGGUUGAUGGCCGAGGGUGCAGGGUUUCUUUUGUGGUUGUGACAUACAUGCCCUAAACAACUGUGGAAAGGUCGCACAUCUCCGUAAGGGCCCUGCGAGCCUGGAAUUGUGUGAUUCCAGUGUGUGGAUCACAGGACAUGGGAACCACUUCUCAAUAAAGAUGUUCUUUACCAA